rnacentral:rRNA from 1 species
AACGAACGCUGGCGGCAGGCUUAACACAUGCAAGUCGAACGCACCUUUCGGGGUGAGUGGCAGACGGGUGAGUAACGCGUGGGAACGUGCCCUUCAGUUCGGGAUAACCUAGGGAAACUUGGGCUAAUACCGGAUACGUGCGAGAGCAGAAAGAUUUAUCGCUGAAGGAUCGGCCCGCGUCUGAUUAGCUAGUUGGUGAG